GGGAAUAUUGCACAAUGGGGGAAACCCUGAUGCAGCAACGCCGCGUGAAGGAAGAAGGCCUUUGGGUCGUAAACUUCUGUCCUAAGGGAAGAUAAUGACGGUACCUUUGGAGGAAGCCCCGGCCAACUACGUGCCAGCAGCCGCGGUAAUACGUAGGGAGCGAGCGUUGUCCGGAAUUACUGGGUGUAAAGGGAGCGUAGGCGGGAUUGCAAGUCAGAUGUGAAAUACGUGGGCUUAACCCACGGGCUGCAUUUGAAACUGUAGUUCUUGAGUGAAGUAGAGGCAAGCGGAAUUCCUGGUGUAGCGGUGAAAUGCGUAGAUAUCAGGAGGAACACCGGUGGCGAAGGCGGCUUGCUGGGCUUUUACUGACGCUGAGGCUCGAAAGCGUGGGGAGCAAACAGG
rnacentral:rRNA from 1 species